rnacentral:lncRNA from 1 species
UUUAUUGACUAAUAGAUAUUCCACAUAAGAUCAGUAACAAAAUCAAUUUUAGAGAAAUAGUUAAAAUUUUUAAAGGAACAUAUUAAUAAUGAUAAAACUGACAUUUUUUUUCCUACAAUUAAAAAAUAAAUAGUGAUCUAAUGGUAAGAGGAGCAAAUAUAAACGUCAUUGGACUUUUGAAGAAAUACAUCUGAUAAUUUAAACUUUAUAGGAAUAGUUUUACGAUUUAAUAUAUUUACAAGGGGCCGUAUGAAAUUAUUUCAAAUAAA